rnacentral:sRNA from 1 species
AUACAAAAUUUCAAAUAUAUCUAUUAAUCAUAAUUUUGAAUUCCAACUAAUAAAUUUACCGCCAAAAUUAUAUAUUCUUAAAAUCUAUACAGCCAAAAAGUUAUAGUCAAAAUUCUACAGCUACACCUUACACACUUACUGCCAAAAUUCUACAGUAAAAAAUCUACAACUACAGUCUAACCAAUCACCCACUCAAUUUGGUAAAAACUUUAAAAUAUAGUUGACUCUGCAAUAUUGGAAGAUAGUCUAACAAAUAUAACAAAAACAGUCAACGAUAUUCCUGCAAAAUAAAUAGUAAUU